AGGUAAGCUACUAAGAGCGAAUGGUGGAUGCCUUGACUGGUAAAGGCGAUGAAGGACGUACUAGACUGCGAUAAGCUACGGGGAGCUGUCAAGAAGCUUUGAUCCGUAGAUUUCCGAAUGGGGCAACCCAAUGUAUAGAGAUAUACAUUACCUAUAUAGGAGCGAACGAGGGGAAUUGAAACAUCUUAGUACCCUCAGGAAAAGAAAUCAAUAGAGAUUGCGUCAGUAGCGGCGAGCGAAAGCGCAAGAGGGCAAACCCAGUGCUUGCACUGGGGGUUGUAGGACUGCAAUGUGCAAGAGGUGAGUUUAGCAGAACAUUCUGGAAAGUAUAGCCAUAGAGGGUGAUAGUCCCGUAUGCGAAAAACAAACCUUAGCUAGCAGUAUCCUGAGUAGGGCGGGACACGAGAAAUCCUGUCUGAAGCUGGGUCGACCACGAUCCAACCCUAAAUACUAAUACCAGAUCGAUAGUGCACAAGUACCGUGAGGGAAAGGUGAAAAGAACUGAGGUGAUCAGAGUGAAAUAGAACCUGAAACCAUUUGCUUACAAUCAUUCAGAGCCCUAUGUAGCAAUACAGGGUGAUGGACUGCCUUUUGCAUAAUGAGCCUGCGAGUUGUGGUGUCUGGCAAGGUUAAGCAAACGCGAAGCCGUAGCGAAAGCGAGUCUGAAUAGGGCGCUUAGUCAGAUGCUGCAGACCCGAAACGAAGUGAUCUAUCCAUGAGCAAGUUGAAGCUAGUGUAAGAACUAGUGGAGGACUGAACCCAUAGGCGUUGAAAAGCCCCGGGAUGACUUGUGGAUAGGGGUGAAAGGCCAAUCAAACUUCGUGAUAGCUGGUUCUCUCCGAAAUAUAUUUAGGUAUAGCGUUGUGUCGUAAUAUAAGGGGGUAGAGCACUGAAUGGGCUAGGGCAUACACCAAUGUACCAAACCCUAUCAAACUCCGAAUACCUUAUAUGUAAUCACAGCAGUCAGGCGGCGAGUGAUAAAAUCCGUCGUCAAGAGGGAAACAACCCAGACUACCAGCUAAGGUCCCUAAAUCUUACUUAAGUGGAAAACGAUGUGAAGUUACUUAAACAACCAGGAGGUUGGCUUAGAAGCAGCCAUCCUUUAAAGAAAGCGUAAUAGCUCACUGGUCUAGUGAUUUUGCGCGGAAAAUAUAACGGGGCUAAAGUAAGUACCGAAGCUGUAGACUUAGUUUACUAAGUGGUAGGAGAGCGUUCUAUUUGCGUCGAAGGUAUACCGGUAAGGAGUGCUGGAGCGAAUAGAAGUGAGCAUGCAGGCAUGAGUAGCGAUAAUUAAUGUGAGAAUCAUUAACGCCGUAAACCCAAGGUUUCCUACGCGAUGCUCGUCAUCGUAGGGUUAGUCGGGUCCUAAGUCGAGUCCGAAAGGGGUAGACGAUGGCAAAUUGGUUAAUAUUCCAAUACCAACAUUAGUGUGCGAUGGAAGGACGCUUAGGGCUAAGGGGGCUAGCGGAUGGAAGUGCUAGUCUAAGGUCGUAGGAGGUUAUACAGGCAAAUCCGUAUAACAAUACU
rnacentral:rRNA from 1 species